ACUUAAGUAAGACUUUGUGAGGAAACAUCAUGGAUGUGGAAUAGGUGGUAGCUGGGUGCUUCGGUGUCUGGUGACAGUGAUAUAACACCGCUGUCAUUGUUUCUCUACUUAUUCAGUGAAACGGGAACGAAAUGGUUUUGUGGUGUGAAGCAUAUACUGAUAUACAUGGUCUAACGCUGAGUGUGUUGGUGUCAUCGUUAUGUCAGAUAAGUCGAAGUGCAGAUUAGCGUGUUUGAGUCUUGAUGUGAUGUGUGACCCAUUAUGAAGACCAUGUCAGGCGGGGUGU
rnacentral:ncRNA from 1 species